GGGAUGGGAAGUGAAGCCCCAGCGAGCGGCUGCAGCGGGGCGGUGAAGAGCAGCCAGGGCGAGGCGGCGGCGGCGGCUAGUCGGUGAGCAGCUGGGAAGAGCAGAACCGGGGCGGAGCACCUGCAGGCGCGGGCGGCGGCCCCACCAUGGCGAUUCGCAAGAAAAGCACCAAGAGCCCCCCGGUGCUGAGCCACGAAUUCGUCCUGCAGAAUCACGCGGACAUCGUCUCCUGUGUGGCGAUGGUCUUCCUGCUGGGGCUCAUGUUUGAGAUAACGGCAAAAGCUUCUAUCAUUUUUGUUACUCUUCAGUACAAUGUCACCCUCCCCGCAACAGAAAAUUAACAGGCGAAUGCACUUCUCCAAAACGAAACACAGCAAGUUUAAUGAAUCUGGUCAGCUUAGUGCGUUCUACCUUUUUGCCUGUGUUUGGGGCACAUUCAUUCUCAUCUCUUGUCUCUACUACUAUAAACAUAACAAUAUUAGAGGAAGGUCAAAUUGUCAGCAUGUAACUAUGAUUAAUGUUGUGUCAUUUAAUACAUGUUCAUUAGAAAAAAGAGCCAUAGAUCUUAGCUCUAAAAGGGAUUUUGAGUUUAUCUGAUUGAAGCAAAUCUAAGAAGAUAUUCCUCGUCAGCUUGUCUACAUUGGUCUUUACCUCUUCCACAUUGCUGGAGCUUACCUUUUGAACUUGAAUCAUCUAGGACUUGUUCUUCUGGUGCUACAUUAUUUUGUUGAAUUUCUUUUCCAUAUUUCCCGCCUGUUUUAUUUUAGCAAUGAAAAGUAUCAGAAAGGAUUUUCUCUGUGGGCAGUUCUUUUUGUUUUGGGAAGACUUCUGACUUUAAUUCUUUCAGUACUGACUGUUGGUUUUGGCCUUGCAAGA
rnacentral:sRNA from 1 species